AGCGAACGCUGGCGGCAGGCCUAACACAUGCAAGUCGAACGGAUCCUUCGGGAUUAGUGGCGGACGGGUGAGUAACACGUGGGAACGUGCCCUUUGGUUCGGAACAACUCAGGGAAACUUGAGCUAAUACCGGAUGUGCCCUUCGGGGGAAAGAUUUAUCGCCAUUGGAGCGGCCCGCGUCUGAUUAGCUAGUUGGUGAGGUAACGGCCCACCAAGGCGACGAUCAGUAGCUGGUCUGAGAGGAUGAUCAGCCACACUGGGACUGAGACCCGGCCCAGACUCCUACGGGAGGCAGCAGUGGGGAAUCUUGCGCAAUGGGCGAAAGCCUGACGCAGCCAUGCCGCGUGAAUGAUGAAGGUCUUAGGAUUGUAAAAUUCUUUCAGCGGGGACGAUAAUGACGGUACCCGCAGAAGAAGCUCCGGCUAACUUCGUG
rnacentral:rRNA from 1 species